CAUGGGGAACGGAAACCCCACCCGGUUAUAAAACCCUAAAGGAUCGACCUCGUUCGCAGCCGAAGUUAGGUUGUGAUCGGGGAUCGCAUCGUGGGCCUCUGCGGCUGGUUUGGUUUUCCAUUAUUCUUCGAUGACGAAAGCAUCAUCGAAUCAAAACAAGAUUAAAGAGAAGGAAAAAUCAAAGUAUAAUCAAAUGAGGAAGGGCCCGAAACUGAUCCAAAUAAGAAAGGCAGCAGCGGCAGCCGGCUUUUUAUGGCUCGAGGAAGCGCAUAUGGUGUAGAGGGAAGGGAACCCAACGAUCGAGUGAUGCGUGUUGUAGGGUUUCCAUCUCGCUCUCAGAAAUGGAUCGGGUGUCUGUGUUGGGUUUCCAAUUAGCUCUUAGAAAUGGAUCGGAUGCACGUGCCAUUUCGAGGCUCUCGGCCUCGACAACCACCACUGAUCUUUCUUUAAAUAUUAAAGUCUCCCUUCGCUAAUAAAUUGUUCGUUUGUCUCCUCUUA